rnacentral:rRNA from 1 species
AUUGAACGCUGGCGGUAGGCCUAACACAUGCAAGUCGAACGCGAAAGUCCUUCGGGAUGAGUAGAGCGGCGGACGGGUGAGUAACGCGUAGGAAUCUAUCCUGUAGUGGGGGAUAACGUUUCGAAAGGAACGCUAAUACCGCAUACGCCCCAAGGGGGAAAGCGGGGGAUCUUCGGACCUCGUGCUAUAGGAGGAGCCUGCGUCGGAUUAGCUAGUUGGUGAGGUAAAGGCUCACCAGGGCGACGAUCCGUAGCUGGUCUGAGAGGAUGAUCAGCCACACCGGAACUGAGACACGGUCCGGACUCCUACGGGAGGCAGCAGUGGGGAAUAUUGCGCAAUGGGCGAAAGCCUGACGCAGCCAUACCGCGUGUGUGAAGAAGGCCUUCGGGUUGUAAAGCACUUUCAGUGGGGAGGAAAAGCUGGUGGCUAAUAUCCAUCGGCCGUGACGCUACCCACAGAAGAAGCACCGGCUAACUACGUGCCAGCAGCCGCCGUAAGAC